GAGCAGUAGCAUGUGGAACGAGAUCAUUGAAUCCAUCGUGAAUGGUUUUCGCAGGAGGGUUGCCUUGUCCAUUCAGCUCCACAGAAGAGCGUUGGAGGCCGCUGGUGAUGGUCACGGUGUUUCAACUUGCAGCUCCAACCUCCGAAUGAGGAGAGAUGCAGCCGGCGCCCGAGAGCCACAGGCGGAAUCAGAAACGAGAGAGAAAUCAAUUACUGCCUUUGCCUCCGCCUAAAACAAGCCGUGUCGGAGACCAUCUACAAAAGGAGGACAAAAGGGGCCGGUGGCCCCUCAAACUCUCAAACCUCAGGAGACGGGGCGGAGAGCAUCCUGUCACGAGCUCUGACACACAGCCAUCACUGCCACCAGUGCAAAAUAGGCCCCUGUCACACCUCAAAAUGGGAUCCAGCCACUUCAUGUGCAAUCAGGCCUGUAUCAGUGAUUGAUGACCACAAAGUGAAAAAUGAGGGAAGACAGCAAAGAAAUAGGAGAGAAAACUGAAACAAUUUUGAAAAGUAACCUUUACAAAAUAAGAAUACUAGUAGCUACUACUUUUCUGGAGUUAUGAAAAGAAUAUGCUGCCAUAAGAGAAA